rnacentral:rRNA from 1 species
UUAAGCGACCAAGCGUACACGGUGGAUGCCCUGGCAGUCAGAGGCGAUGAAGGACGUGCUAAUCUGCGAAAAGCGCCGGUAAGGUGAUAUGAACCGUUAUAACCGGCGAUGUCCGAAUGGGGAAACCCAGUGUGACUCGUCACACUAUCAUUAACUGAAUCCAUAGGUUAAUGAGGCGAACCGGGGGAACUGAAACAUCUAAGUACCCCGAGGAAAAGAAAUCAACCGAGAUUCCCCCCAGUAGCGGCGAGCGAACGGGGAGGAGCCCAGAGCCUGAAUCAGCAUGUGUGUUAGUGGAAGCGUCUGGAAAGGCGCGCGAUACAGGGUGAGAGCCCCGUACACAAAAGCGCAUAUGCUGUGAGCUCGAUGAGUAGGGCGGGACACGUGGUAUCCUGUCUGAAUAUGGGGGGACCAUCCUCCAAGGCUAAAUACUCCUGACUGACCGAUAGUGAACCAGUACCGUGAGGGAAAGGCGAAAAGAACCCCGGCGAGGGGAGUGAAACAGAACCUGAAACCGUGUACGUACAAGCAGUGGGAGCCUCUCUUUAUGGGGGGUGACUGCGUACCUUUUGUAUAAUGGGUCAGCGACUUAUAUUCUGUAGCAAGGUUAACCGCAUAGGGGAGCCGAAGGGAAACCGAGUCUUAACCGGGCGUUAAGUUGCAGGGUAUAGACCCGAAACCCGGUGAUCUAGCCAUGGGCAGGUUGAAGGUUGGGUAACACUAACUGGAGGACCGAACCGACUAAUGUUGAAAAAUUAGCGGAUGACCUGUGGCUGGGGGUGAAAGGCCAAUCAAACCGGGAGAUAGCUGGUUCUCCCCGAAAGCUAUUUAGGUAGCGCCUCGUGAAUUCAUCUCCGGGGGUAGAGCACUGUUUCGGCUAGGGGGCCAUCCCGGCUUACCAACCCGAUGCAAACUGCGAAUACCGGAGAAUGUUAUCACGGGAGACACACGGCGGGUGCUAACGUCCGUCGUGAAGAGGGAAACAACCCAGACCGCCAGCUAAGGUCCCAAAGUCAUGGUUAAGUGGGAAACGAUGUGGGAAGGCCCAGACAGCCAGGAUGUUGGCUUAGAAGCAGCCAUCAUUUAAAGAAAGCGUAAUAGCUCACUGGUCGAGUCGGCCUGCGCGGAAGAUGUAACGGGGCUAAACCAUGCACCGAAGCUGCGGCAGCGACACUUUAGUGUUGUUGGGUAGGGGAGCGUUCUGUAAGCCGUUGAAGGUGUGUCGUGAGGCAUGCUGGAGGUAUCAGAAGUGCGAAUGCUGACAUAAGUAACGAUAAAGCGGGUGAAAAGCCCGCUCGCCGGAAGACCAAGGGUUCCUGUCCAACGUUAAUCGGGGCAGGGUGAGUCGACCCCUAAGGCGAGGCCGAAAGGCGUAGUCGAUGGGAAACGGGUUAAUAUUCCCGUACUUGGUGUUACUGCGAAGGGGGGGACGGAGAAGGCUAUGUUGGCCGGGCGACGGUAGUCCCGGUUUAAGCGUGUAGGCUGGUUUUCCAGGCAAAUCCGGAAAAUCAAGGCUGAGGCGUGAUGACGAGGCACCACGGUGCUGAAGCAACAAAUGCCCUGCUUCCAGGAAAAGCCUCUAAGCAUCAGGUAACAUCAAAUCGUACCCCAAACCGACACAGGUGGUCAGGUAGAGAAUACCAAGGCGCUUGAGAGAACCCGGGUGAAGGAACUAGGCAAAAUGGUGCCGUAACUUCGGGAGAAGGCACGCUGACACGUAGGUGAAGUGAUUUACUCAUGGAGCUGAAGUCAGUCGAAGAUACCAGCUGGCUGCAACUGUUUAUUAAAAACACAGCACUGUGCAAACACGAAAGUGGACGUAUACGGUGUGACGCCUGCCCGGUGCCGGAAGGUUAAUUGAUGGGGUCAGCGCAAGCGAAGCUCCUGAUCGAAGCCCCGGUAAACGGCGGCCGUAACUAUAACGGUCCUAAGGUAGCGAAAUUCCUUGUCGGGUAAGUUCCGACCUGCACGAAUGGCGUAAUGAUGGCCAGGCUGUCUCCACCCGAGACUCAGUGAAAUUGAACUCGCUGUGAAGAUGCAGUGUACCCGCGGCAAGACGGAAAGACCCCGUGAACCUUUACUAUAGCUUGACACUGAACAUUGAGCCUUGAUGUGUAGGAUAGGUGGGAGGCUUUGAAGCGUGGACGCCAGUCUGCGUGGAGCCGACCUUGAAAUACCACCCUUUAAUGUUUGAUGUUCUAACGUGGACCCGUAAUCCGGGUUGCGGACAGUGUCUGGUGGGUAGUUUGACUGGGGCGGUCUCCUCCUAAAGAGUAACGGAGGAGCACGAAGGUUGGCUAAUCCUGGUCGGACAUCAGGAGGUUAGUGCAAUGGCAUAAGCCAGCUUGACUGCGAGCGUGACGGCGCGAGCAGGUGCGAAAGCAGGUCAUAGUGAUCCGGUGGUUCUGAAUGGAAGGGCCAUCGCUCAACGGAUAAAAGGUACUCCGGGGAUAACAGGCUGAUACCGCCCAAGAGUUCAUAUCGACGGCGGUGUUUGGCACCUCGAUGUCGGCUCAUCACAUCCUGGGGCUGAAGUAGGUCCCAAGGGUAUGGCUGUUCGCCAUUUAAAGUGGUACGCGAGCUGGGUUUAGAACGUCGUGAGACAGUUCGGUCCCUAUCUGCCGUGGGCGCUGGAAGACUGAGGGGGGGCUGCUCCUAGUACGAGAGGACCGGAGUGGACGCAUCACUGGUGUUCGGGUUGUCAUGCCAAUGGCACUGCCCGGUAGCUAAAUGCGGAAAAGAUAAGUGCUGAAAGCAUCUAAGCACGAAACUUGCCCCGAGAUGAGUCUUCCCUGAGACUUUGAGUCUCCUGAAGGAACGUUAAAGACGAUGACGUUGAUAGGCCGGGUGUGUAAGCGCAGCGAUGCGUUGAGCUAACCGGUACUAAUGAACCGUGAGGCUUAACCUU